CAAUCUGUAGAAUGUGUGGACCCUGAAGCUUAUGGCAGUGCCGUUAUCUGUUGUAGGGAUGCAAACAUGCUCUUUGAUGUGUUAUUCUUGGGGACUUAGGAGGAUAAAGAUGGAAUACUCAUUUGGCCCAGCUCUCCAGAUGGGAUGAAAAUGCAGCAGUGGUUUAUGUGCAUUUCCACAGAGCAAGAGCCCAUGGUUUAUAGACACCCUUGCAGCUGGAGUUCUGGAUGUGAAUUAGGCUGGACCAAUCAGAUGCAUCUCAUGAGACUUCAAUUCACACCUAAGAAAUUAAUUCACCAGGCUGUGCCUAGGCAUGGAUAUACAUCCAUGGUAAGCAAUUCACCCCCAGCCCCACUACUGGGCAAAAGCAGUAAAAGACACAAACUGCAGCUCCUCCAAGGUGGAGGGCAAGAGUGCCUCCCGCCUCCGCUCCUCAGCCUUAUUGGACCUACAGAUUCUGAUCCUUCCUCAUGGCUCUGA
rnacentral:lncRNA from 1 species